rnacentral:misc_RNA from 1 species
UACGGGGGGGCAGCAGUGGGGAAUUUUGGACAAUGGGGAAACCCUGAUCCAGCCAUCCCGCGUGUGCGAUGGAGGCCUUCGGGUUGUAAAGCACUUUUGGCAGGUAAAAGAAACGGCACGAUAAUACCCUGCGCAACUGACGGUACCUGCAGAAUAAGCACCGGCUAACUACGUGCCAGCAGCCGCGGUAAUACGUAGGGUGCAAGGCGUUAAUCGGAAUUACUGGGCGUAAAGCGUGCGCAGGCGGUUCGGAAAGAAAGAUGUGAAAUCCCAGAGCUUAACUUUGGAACUGCAUUUUUAACUACCGAGCUAGAGUGUGUCAGGAGGGGAGGUGGAAUUCCGCGUGUAGCAGUGAAAUGCGUAGAUAUGCGGAGGAACACCAAUGGCGAAGGCAGCCUCCCUGGGAUAACACUGACGCUCAUGCACGAAAGCGGUGGGGAGCAAACAGGAUUAGAUACCCCCGUA